GAUAUUUACACGAUCAGACCAGCCUUUCAUACUCCAUCUACGUCACGAAAGAAACGGUUUCCCCUUGGUUUUCCAUCUCUAGGACAAUACAGAGCAUCGCACCGACACGCAAGCACCGUGGCGCUGAAAAGGUGCACAGAAAGUGCCAGUGGGCCUCUUUUAUUGCCUGCAUACAUUUUUUUUUUCUAAAGACAAACGAUAGCGGAUACAGUUGUUUUGCCAGCUUCGCUGAAAAUGGAGAAAUCUUCCCAACAUGCCACCCUGGCAAAGCCUUAUUUAUGCCCAAACAGUCAGACACUGUCCAGAGCGUCACAGAGGACAGCCAUCGCCUGCUGACGCUUAUCUUAACAACAACGGCAGGCCGGCUGAGGUGGGAAUGCUUCUAUUUACACUCCAUUUCGUGGACCAGGAGGAGACUAGGGGAUGCGCGCCCUGCACAGGAAACCCAGAGUUCCCCCCAUGACUUCUGCUGCUUACAGGAGCCCCUCAGGGAUUGUGACCUCCUGGGUCAAAGUACAGGGAUGGUGGAAGAGUGACUUUCUGCCAGAGUAUUACCUUGUCAGGCACCGAAUCAGGAAGGAGAGGCAGCCAAACCUGGAAAUACAUCCAUUAGACUGCAUUUCAGGCCAGCGGAGGCCUUGAGAUGGCGGAUUAGCCGGGGAACAGCGGGGCCUGCAUAGUCUUCGCUCACGCAGCUAACAGAAAGCAGAUGUGAAGGCAGGCAGGUGGAAAGUCCGGCUCAAGGCCUGUGAUGGAGUGCCUGUGCAGGGUUCAGGAGCUCCAUAUCUGACCCUGGUACUUUUUGUUUUGAGCAUGCAAACCUCCACGCGGCAGGACGGAUGGGCUUUUAAGCUCAUUAGCCUUGCAGCCCGAACUGCUUUAUUUCAUGUCUGGUGGCUGUGGGGGUGUGGGGGUCAGGAAGUCAUCUGUCUGCUGCUGUCUGGGAUCUGAAUUAGAGCCCCACUGAGGAUCCUGAAGACUGUGGAGGUGUCGUGGUUAAGAAGGAAAGCAGUCCAACUCAACAGUUCCAGCACUCAAUCACAGCAUGGCCAAGUAAAAGGGGGGGGCAGUCACUCUCAGUCAACAUGUGAAAUGCUUUUCAAAUUUCACACUCUAUGUUCUGAGUUAGCAGGGGCAUGCGGAAAAGAUGAUGUAUCCUUGUGUUUUUUACUUUCUCUGUUUUUUAUUAACUUUUGUUGCUCCCUUUCUAUGCUUUAGAAAUGUUACAGUAAUAGCAAAAGCUUAUAUACACAGAUAAGUGUUCUAAUUUCAAGAACAUGUGCACCUUAAUGAGUGUUUCACUGUUCCUGGUGAGUCAGAAUAUAACAGCAGAAUCAUGUCUAAACAUAACGAUUAUUCAUUUGACACAUACAGUCCUUAUUCUCUUUUUGAAUCCAGGUGAUCACUUUACAAAAAGGUAACUAAAACACCAGCGUUUAAGCAGCCAGGAACUGCAUCUACUUGAAUGUCAUUCUUGAUAAAUCAUUAUUAUGCCCUCCAACAGAGUCUUGUCCCUCCUUAACUCCCUGCCAGAACAGAAAACCCUAUAUAUAGGUGGGGUAGUAAAAAUUGCAUAUAAACAAAGGGCAAAGGUGAUAUUUCUGGAUAUGUGACUGUGAUGAAUGAUGGGCAAGAAAUUAUAUAUAGAGGGAGGUGGUAAAAAUUGCAUCUAUAAACUGGUUUCAUCUCCUAGAACUUCUGAAGCGCUUUGCUUGAUAUAUAGAUAUAUGUAUAUAUAUCCAAAGAACAUUCCAGGGAGUAACUGCAGUGUACCGCAGUUAAAAUAUGAGUUAAAUAUAAGUUCUUGUGCACUACUUAUAACAGUCUCAUACCCAGAACUAGCACCUUUGCCCUUUCUCCUCAGUCAGACACUGCCUACUACGCUGCAAAGCUGAUCCUGGGUCUGUGUCCAUCUGCCCUGGAUCUGCAGCUCCACCCCUCUCCUGCAGGGAGGCUCCAGGAUGCCCAGGACAGCUGCUGCUGAUAACCAAGCUGCCGUUUGCUGAGUUUUCACAAAACAAGAUGGCAUGCAACCAGAUAGUGUGAAUUAAUACAUGAACAAUUCACACCGCCACUGCCCCCAUCCCUCCACCCACGAAUGGGAGCUGGAGGAGGUGGAUGCCUCUGUCAGCCUCAGUGGAACAUAUAUUCUUAACAGCGCUGGAAAACUAAACCUGAAUUUUCAGGGCACUCACUGCCAUAACUGAGACACUGGAAAUUCAGAGGCUGAAUUCCCCAUUUUGUCUUUCUUAUUACAAGACUAUAGAAAGGAAUUUCAAAGGGAAAGAUGUCUCCUCUCUAUGCUUUCAAGAGCUUUCUUUUUUAGAGCACUCACACUGUGCCUGUGUGAGCCUGUGCCAGUGAGCACCCAAAGCUGCCAGCCCCAGGGCGUCCAGGCCGGCCACGAACAGCAGGCACUGCAGCUACGACGACCCUGCCAGCGGCCUGUUCUGGUUGAUGGCCAGGCCACCAGAGCAGGUGUGUCUGGGUGGGGGGGAUGCACAGAAGAGGGCACAGGGAAGGAGUGAAUGGGGCAAAAGGCAGCAGGGCUGCGGCAGUAAUGACAACGGCCCACAAGGCUGCAAGACAGGCUGGGGAGCAGUGGGCUAAGGAGAGCGUGUAAAGCCAUGCUCCCAACAGCAACAGACUAGCUGCUUACCCUUUACUUCGAGUCUGGAGAGGAUCAGGGACGUCGUGAGAGGGUGUAUGGCCGAGCUGUGAUUUGGAUAUUAACUCACCAUGCUUGUUCCUCAUUAAACAUUAAUCAAACUUAUAUGGCUUAUUCUUAUGUGGCUAUAGUCUUGGGUUUCUUGGAAAACACUGAAAACUCUGUUUUGCCUCAAUAAAUAGAGGUGAAUGUCAAUCUUUCAUGUCAUGGUUGGUCAGUAACAAUCAUGAUAAACAUGAUUUGAAGCUCAACCCCAGUAAAACCGAGCUUCUGUACAUCCCAGGUGCUCCCAACCCUUACCAUGACCU